CGGAAAAGGAAGUACGUCGUCUGCAAGUGAACAAUUUAAAGAUUGAAACAGUCCUUGCACAGCCUCUCCCAUCCGGAGGUCAGCUGAAUAGUCCUUCUCACGUGGUCUGUCUCCUCUUAGGGGUGGGAUGCGGCGCGGUCUGGUGCUUAGAACAUAGAGACACAUCUGUUUGUCGUCAGUAAUGUUACCUGGUCGGAGACCUGAGUUGUGUAUGGAAACCGGCAGCUGCGCACACACAUAGCAGUUCACAGCAUGUCCCUCAUAAGCGGUUCUGUUCAUCAGUUUCCACCACAGAUUGGUACUGUAGUCAUGCGGCAGUCACAGCGCAGUAGAAGAUCCAUCUGGCAUAUGGAGUCCCCAUUGUUGCUCGGCGUACAGAGAUGUCAGAACCCCCAAACUAAAGGAGUGAGAAUCUUAGCGUUUCUUCACCGGGUUUGAGACGAACUACA